UACGUAGGGUCCGAGCGUUGUCCGGAAUUACUGGGCGUAAAGAGCUCGUAGGUGGUUUGUCGCGUUGUUCGUGAAAACUCACAGCUUAACUGUGGGCGUGCGGGCGAUACGGGCAGACUGGAGUACUGCAGGGGAGACUGGAAUUCCUGGUGUAGCGGUGGAAUGCGCAGAUAUCAGGAGGAACACCGGUGGCGAAGGCGGGUCUCUGGGUAGUAACUGACGCUGAGGAGCGAAAGCGUGGGGAGCGAACAGG
rnacentral:rRNA from 1 species